ACAGCGCCCCCCUGAGAAGGGGACGGGGCCAGAGAGAGGAUGGGGCCUCUCUUGGCCCUGUCCCCUUCUCAGGGGGGCACUGU